rnacentral:tRNA from 1 species
GCUCCGAUAGCUCAGCUGGAUAGAGCAUCGGCCUUCUAAGCCGAGGGUCGCAGGUUCGAACCCUGCUCGGAGUACCA